CUUUUAUUCAAAACAAAGGUUUAAAAGAAACAAUAAAUAAAUAUAAAUAAAACAUAUUUAAAACAAUAUUAAAACAGUUUAUACACAGAAAAAACAUAAAUCGCAAGUACAUACACAGGAAAAACAUAAAUCGCAAGUAUAUACACAGGGAAAACAUAAAUCGUAUACACAGAAGAAACAUAAAUUCUAUUUAUACUAGCUUACUAUGCGGUCUGGGUUUUGUUCAUUGCUGAAGUCCAUACAGUGAUCUUAAAUUGUUUUACAGCAGAUUUCA
rnacentral:lncRNA from 1 species